ACCUGUCUGGCUCAGUUGGUAGAGCGUGUGUCCUUUGAUCUCAGCAUUGUGAGUUUAAGUCUCACAUUGGGUG
rnacentral:tRNA from 1 species